rfam:Pan troglodytes isolate Yerkes chimp pedigree #C0471 (Clint) chromosome 4, whole genome shotgun sequence.
GCUGGGUGUAGUGAUGCACGCCUGUAAUCCCAGCUACUCAGGAGGCUGAGGCAGGAGAAUUGCUUGACCCCAGGAGGCUGAGGUUGCAGUGAGCCGAGAUCACACCACUGCACUCCAGCCUGGGUGACAGAGCAAGACUCCGUCUCAA